rnacentral:rRNA from 1 species
UACGACUACAUAUCAGGCAUAUCAAUAAGCGGAGGAAAAGAAACUAACAAGGAUUCCCUUAGUAACGGCGAGUGAAGCGGGAAGAGCUCAAAUUUGAAAUCUUCAAGGUUCUACCUUGACGAAUUGUAGUUUAAAGAAGUGUUUUCUGUUAGAUGAGUAGCAAAAGUUCCUUGGAAUGGGACAUCAUAGAGGGUGAGAAUCCCGUAUUUGGUUAUUCAUUCUAGCUUUGUGAUACACUUUCAAAGAGUCGGAUUGUUUGGGAAUGCAGUCCAAAAUGGGUGGUAAAUUUCAUCUAAAGCUAAAUAUUGGCGAGAGACCGAUAGCGAACAAGUACCGUGAGGGAAAGAUGAAAAGAACUUUGAAAAGAGAGUUAAACAGUACGUGAAAUUGUCAAAAGGGAAGCGUUUGACACCAGUGUUGUUUAGUUGCAAAAUCAAUUACGAAUGGCUUGAUUUUGUGUUGUAUUGACCUUAUCAGCUUUCUUCACUUUUUUCGAGUCUUUCUUAAUGCACUUUUUGGUUAACGAGUCAACAUCAAUUUCUUUUGUUGUAAAAGAGUAUUCGGAAGGUGGCUUUCUUUUCGGAGAAAGUGUUUAUAGCCCUAUACUUCUACAAUCGGAGAGAUUGAGGUCUGCAGCGUAGAUCCUUCGGGGUUAGAUACACUUGUGCUAAGUUGUAGCUUUUCAUAGACAACUUGUUGACUAUGUUUAGUCAUGCGGCUUACUCGCUUGUGCUAUUUUACCUACGCUUAGGAUGUUGAGUAGCGACAUACGCAC